UUUCAGUUUUGUUCCCCUUUCGUUUUCUGCCCUAGCAUUUCACCCUCUCUCUAAUUGCGUUGCAUCUCGCUUUCUCUCUAAUGUCUCCAUCUCUCUUUCCAAUCCUUCUCCACCCGUUGAUCGCCACUACCCAUUGUCACCGCUCGUCACCGCCGCCACCAAAAGUUAAGUCCUCCACUCUCUCACUUUCUCUCUUUUCUUGUUCUUUUUUAAUUCAAUUUCAGAAUAAUCAAUCUGAAGCUGCCAAAAUGAUCGAGCGUCCUUGGCAUCGUCGUUGCCGCCUAUGAUCGGUCAGGUUGUUUAUUUCGUGAUGUCACUGCCUCUCUAUUGUCAAUCUCGGGUUUGGCUUUUGACUUUGUUGUAUGGAAGCAUAUUGUUGUACCAGCACCAUAAACUAGUGGUAAAAUUAUCAUUCUUGCCACCAUCAUCAGCUUAUAGCUUCACAAAACCUAGCGAAGUGUUUGGGUUUUGAUGUGUAGACACUUGUAUAUAAUAGGUAUAUGUGUACCUUCAAUGUAUGUAUUUGUUCAGGUAUCUUAAACUGUUUUGAAAUUAUGCGUUAUAUUGUACUUAAUUCACUAAAUUACUAAUUUUAUUGAGUCUGUGUUAAUUUAUCCACUAAUGACUUCUCUUUGUUUGGGUAUCUAGCAGGGUCUAGGGAUAUCCACAGUGGCUGCUCCUUUAUUUUGAUAUUUUGUUCCUUUACUUAUUAGAAUGCAAGUGAGAGGGUUGAAUGCGGGGGUUCACUAUUGAAUUCCAAUGAACUGACAAUUUUUAUUUUGUGUAGUGCAGUUUUUUGUGCUUUGCGCAUCUUAAUAUUGAUUUUUCAUUAAAGAUUAUGAUUAGUGAAAUGUCGGGGAAUCAUGAUCUGAAUCAGGCCUUGAAAAGUUCCGGCAUUGUGGAAAAAGGAGAUUAAAAUGAUUCUCAGUCUGCAAAAGUAGGUGUUUUUUUGAUAUUUUUGUAUUAGUUUUAUUUUAUUUUUUUUAGUGAAGUGGUCAUCUUAUUUACUUGUACAUUUACAGAGGUAAAAUUUUGAACUUAAAUAUUUGCUAUUGAAUGAGAUGGAGUUGCUGAUCCCUGUUUUCUAACUAAAGUGCAUUAUUUUAAAAGUUCCUUAUUCUCUGUUCUCAAAGUGCAUUUUUUACAUCUUACCCCAAGUAAAAAAACUUUAAAACCUGUAUUUGUUUAUUCUUGUCCAUCUUAAUUUGUGGAUUACACCUAAUUCUAUGCACAAGUUGACUAGACUUUUUCACUAUUUCAGCAUAUGAUUUGAUGACUCAAACAUAAAUAUUAUACUGCUAGAUGUGGCUCUGUUUCUAGGACAUUUAUUUGAGUAAAUUUUCUAGAACAACAUCAUCAACCAGAUUUUAAACUUUUUGGUUUUCAAGAUAUUUAAUUUGAGUGCAUAAGUUACUUCUAAAGUGCUAGCUGUUGAUGACUUCUAAAGUGCUUGCCGAUAAUGAGGAGAUUAAAAAGACGGUAUCAAUUAUUUGAAGAAAUCUGAUGCUUGAGAGCUUAAUGAUUAUUGAGCAGAGAAGAUUGUUUUUAUUGAUGAAAUGUAUUUUUUGAUUAAACAUAUUGUUUGUAGAACGAUGGUUGUAUAUUUGAAUUAAUGAAAUGUAUGUAUUUUUUUUU